rnacentral:rRNA from 1 species
UGCGGAGGGUGCAAGCGUUAUCCGGAUUUACUGGGUUUAAAGGGUGCGUAGGUGGGCAGGUAAGUCAGCGGUGAAAUCUCCGAGCUUAACUCGGAAACUGCCAUUGAUACUAUCUGUCUUGAAUAUCCUGGAGGUAAGCGGAAUAUGUCAUGUAGCGGUGAAAUGCUUAGAUAUGACAUAGAACACCAAUUGCGAAGGCAGCUUACUACGGGAUUAUUGACACUGAGGCACGAAAGCGUGGGGAUCAAACAGG